CUUCUGACACUCGAACUCCUCAGAAUUGCCACCCGCCCUGUGUGUCAGCACUGAGAGGGCAUUUUAGAGAUGGACAGAGGCCUGGCCUUCGUUUUCUGAGUACCUUGAAUAUUUGAAAAAAGAAGAAAAAUGCCAGAAUUGGUACAAAAAAUUGUAGGUGGUAUAUUCUAUUUAGAUGCUUAAUAAAAAAAAUGCUGCUAAACACUUAUAAAAAUACAAUGGCUAGGAGGACCCUCAUUUGGAGAGAAUGGUUCCAUAUAUCCAUAGACCAUAGAUUCACAGUCGAUGAUUUGAGGUCGUUUGUGAAUGAGAUUCAGAACGCGUGGCUCUCCUGGUCCUCUGCUCCCCUUCACCUCCGUGUUAGAUAUGGGUGCCUUAGGCGGGGCGGGGUGGGGGGUCUCCUGCUGGAGGGCUCAGGGCCCCCACUCUUCUACGGGACAAAAGCCUUCAGGUCAACCUUGUGCCCCUGGGGAGAGGAGUGGUGCCCUCAGGGUGGCCUGGCCUGGGCAAGGAGGGUCUCCUUGCUGGGCUGGGGUGAACAGCAGGUGGAGGGACACAACCUGAGUCAUCCGUGGGACACGAUGCCCCCUUCUGCUGAUGUCCUCCUCCAGCCAGGGGCUCAUCACUGGGGUAUCUGGGUUACCUUGGUUACAAUAUGGGAAAAGGAAGUUUUGCGAAUGGCUUCUCCUUGGGUGCUUUCAGACUUAAGAAAUAGCUCCACCAUUUGUGGCCAGCUUUCUGCUGGUUUCCUUCUGUGAUGAUAGCAGCCGCCAGUUCGCCUCAUGACAUGCCUACAUCAGCCAGGCAUUGUGUUAAGAGCUGAAAAUACAGCGGUUAUUCACGCUGGCUGUCCUGGGUCCUGGGGGCAGGGGAGCUGACCGUUGAUUUGGGAGAAAGGCACAAGUGAGUGAGUCACCUCCAUGUAAUGAAGUGAGUGCUCUUCUUGGAUUAUGACAGAAUCAUAGAGGAGAGCCGCCCACCCAGGGUGGGGCGUUCCUGAGAAGGUUCUGGAACAGAGAGGGAGGCUGAGCUGAAUCCUGAUGAAGAAAGGACUUAGCCAGGCUGGAGUGGGUUGUGAGAAGAUCCAAGGGACGGGGGCACCCAGCUUGGGUCGAGACUACAUUUCCAACAGUGGGAGUUCAGGGUCAGAAGGUAGAAUGACAACUACAGAAAACUUUCAAUACCAGGUUUUCCCUCCAAGGAAAUCAACGUCUAUUGGCGUUCCCCUCCGCAGAGCAUGAGAGUCUUUCUAUCCCCACCUGCCCCUCCACCCGUGUUAUUAAAACUCACUUCCUCCACCUGUGCCAA